GAAAUGCGAUAAGUAAUGUGAAUUGCAGAAUUCAGUGAAUCAUCGAAUCUUUGAACGCACAUUGCGCCCGCCAGUAUUCUGGCGGGCAUGCCUGUUCGAGCGUCAUUUCAACCAUCAAGCCCCGCGCUUGUGUUGGGGACCUGCGGCUGCCGCAGGCCCCGAAAACCAGUGGCGGGCUCGCUGUCACACCGGGCGUAGUAGAUUUUAUCUCGCUCAGGGCGUGCUGCGGGUUCCGGCCGUUAAAAAGCCUUUUUUACCCAAGGUUGACCUCGGAUCAGGUAGGAAGACCCGCUGAACUUAAGC
rnacentral:misc_RNA from 1 species